AAAAGUUUGGAAACACCUUCUCAUUUCAACGUGUUUUCUUUGUUUUCAUGACUAUUUACAUUGUCAGCGAAGGCAUCACAACUAUGACAUCUGUGAAGUGAGAACCCUUUCAGAAGCUCGUCGAGAGAAUGCCAAGAGUGUACAAAGCAGUAAUCCGAGCAAAGGGUGGCUAUUUUGAAGAAACUACAAUACAAAACAUGUUUUUGGUUACUUUACCUUUUUUUGUUAAGUACAUAACUCCACAUGUGUGCAUUCCUAGUUUUGAUGCCUUCAGUGACAAUCUACUAUGUAAAUAGUCUUAAAAAUAAAGAAAGCGGAGAGUGAAGCAUGAACAUCCGGCUUAUCAAACCCUCUGAUUCUUUGCUCGCAGGUGAGAACAAUAAUUAUUACUCAACAGCCGCAGUGAAAUGGCUGCAUGACAACACUAACCAAACAGGAAAUGGAAAGAAAAUAAGAGCGCUGAGCAGGAAAACAACCCCCCAACACAGGAAAACAUCACAAAACCCCCAAAAAAACAAGUACUUCCAACAAAGAAGAGAGUGCCAGCAAACAAAAACCCUUUGAUGAAUUUGUUUUUGGAAGCAACGGCAGCAGCAUCCCCUCCCGAGCCCAACGUACCUGCAGAGGAAGAGAAUCACAGUGUCUGCGGCCGUCAGCGUGGAGGAAAUGAGUCUGAUGGAGGAGAACUUUGAGCUGCCAGAGUUCAAUGACAGCAUCUUUGGGAGCUUGAAGAAACACUUGAACCACAGCAACUGGAAGAGCUUUGAAUGGUGGCUGGGCAACAAUAUCCUCUUCCAGGUGUCCCAGCUCAAGGCUGUGUCCCCCACUGCUGAGCCAGGCUACUACAAGGCAUUACUACUGUAUUUUACGCACUAGAAGGUGCACUUAGAAUCCUUUUUUUGACGUUCAUGUUGAAAUAAGUGUGACUAGUAGAUGGCAGUCAAACAUAAGAGAUACGUGUAGACUGCAAUAUGAUGGCAUUCACACACAAGAGAUACUGUAUGUGUAGAUUCAAGAGAUUCAAGAUUGUUUAUUGUCAUAUGCACAGUUAGUUUGCCGUACAAUGAAAAUUUUACUUUGCUAGUCCACCCUUCAAUAAGUCACACGGUACUUAGCUAAAAAUAAAAAUAAAAAAGUAUAUACAGUAAGUAACAUAACAUUAUUGCACAUUCUGAUUGACAGUCAACAGUAUAAAUAUGGAGGUGACCUUGGGUCACAGCAGCAGUUAAAGUGUCUUUAGUGAUCAAAGGUAAAAGGUGUCUACAGUGAUGGUUCACAGUUCGGGGGUGGUCAAGGUAGCUGUCUUUUGUUCAAAAAGUUAAAAGUAAAGACGGGGGGAGCUAGCAUUCACAAGUUAGCAUUCACAAGCCUGGUGGCCUGUGGGUAGAAACUGUUUGUCAGUCUGGUAGUCCUGGAUUUCAGGCUCCUGUAUGGUCUACCUGAUGGUAGGAGGCUGAAGAGACUGUGCUGGGGGUGUGUACUGUCCUUUAUGAUGUUGUGAGAUCUCCUGGUGGUCCUGGUAGACUUCAUGUCCUGUAGUGAGGGGAAUGCUGCUAGACUGCACUAUGAUGGCAAUAUGACUCAAGUAAAAUUGUAUAUGUUCCAUUGAGAAUAUAGAACAUUACACACGGCGCUCAAAAAUCUAUCAAAAUGUUUUAUUAGGACUUUGGUAAGCUAUAAAGCCGCACCAUUAGAUGGAUUGUACUGUGCUUCAACAUACCAGUAUUAUUAUGGUGUGUGUAUAAGGUAAGACAUAUUAUCAGGAGUUUUGUUUCGCUAUAUUAUGCAAAACCAACUUUUCUUACAUUCUGGUACCUACUGAUCUGUAUUUGGGAUCUCUAUAAGACCUGAAAAAUUGUGCGCUUCCGCCUUUGUAGUCCAUGGCGACACCGUAGUCGAUAAGAUUCUUCCUUUUUGUCUAUCUUAAAAAGCGAAAGUACCAACGAUAGUCACACACACACUAGGUGUGGUGAAAUUAUUCUCUGCAUUUGACCCAUCACCAUUGAUCACCCCCUGGGAGGUGAGGGGAGCAGUGAGCAGCCGUGAUGACCACGCCCGGGAAUCAAUUUUGGUGAUGUGGAUUUAACCCCCAAAUUCCAAGCCUUGAUGCUGAGUGCCAAGCAGGGAGGUCAUGGCUCCCAUUUUUAUAGUCUUUGGUAUGACUCGGCCAGGGUUUGAACUCACAACCUACCCAUCUCAGGGCGAUAGCCUGUAAUGCCAGGUUUCCACAGGUUUUAAAACGACUUUUGGAGAUCUUCAGAAGACCCUGGCCUGAAGACUGGAGGCUACGACCUGAAGAGUAGCAAGCAAGUGAUGUACUAAGGGGCCCCACUAUGCAAUGCAUGGAAUGUCAGGACUAAAAUUUUAAAGUCAAUACGGAAUUUAACUGGAAGCCAAUGAAGACUGGAUGAAAUGGGAGUGGGUGCACCGGUCAGAAGUACUCGACGUGCUUCCUGUGCUGCACUAUUUCUGCUUAGUUUUCCCCUUUAAAGGGUUUUUACUUGCACUUCGCCUGCUAUGUCUGCAUCCCGGGGUCCACACGAUAACGCAACAGGCAGUUUGACCCUGGUAAUUAAAUUUCCAUUAUUCGCAGUGGGAGAAAUAGCAUCGGCGUCCUUAGAAUGUCAGUAGUAUCAGUCGGUGGUCUGUAAGAGCAAAGAAGCCCUUAGGUGGGGAGGGUUUUAUCUCCCCAUCCAGCGUCAGCCAUCAGGACCAAGUGUCAAAUGCAAGCUGAGGCCGGCGGCAGCCAGCUCUCUUCUUACCGCCACGCGUGUGACCAGCAGGGCCGCUACCUCGCCACUCAGUGCUGGCGCGCCAUGGGUUUGUGCUGGUGUGUGGAAGACACCGCCUCACUGGACCUCGACCUUGACUGUAGAGUUGUGACAGAUGAUUGGAUUGAUGGACGGGAGGAUGGUGUUGAACAUCAGGUAGGACUCAUCUUUCUUGUCAUCUGGUGGAUGUUUGCAUAAUCAGUCAUUUAGGCUCUUUAAAGUCCUACUGAAAGCCACUACUAGCGACCACGCAGUCUGAUAGUUUAUAUAUCAAUGAUGAAAUAUUAACAUUGCAACACAUGCCAAUACGCCCGCUUUACUUUACUAAAUUGCAAUUUUACAUUUCCCGCUGAUUUUUUUGUUGAAAACGUCGUGGAAUGAUGACGUGUGUUUGUGACGUCCUGGGUUGUAGCGGACAUAUUAGCCAGCACCACUCACGGCUAAAAGUUAUCUGUUUCCAUCGCAUAAUUACACAGUAUUUUGGACAUCUGUGUUGCUGAAUCUUUUGCAAUUUGUUCAAUUAAUAAUGGAGGAGUCAAAGUAGAAAGAUGGAGUUGGGAAGCUUUAGUCUUUAGCCACACAAACACACAGUGAUUCCUUGUUUAAAAUUCCUGAAGAUGAAGCUUUACUAUGGAUCAGAGCGGUCAAGCGAACAUGGAUCCCGACUACAUGUCAACCGGCAGUUUUCAGUGAGAAAAUUGUGGUAAUAAGUCGCCUCUUACCGGAGAUCAGUGGAGCUUGCGUCGUCCAUGCAGCUGCCGUGACUUCCCUCAGAGACUCUGGCGUCAAAACAUUGCUGUUUGUUUUUAAAUCUUUACAUGGACUGGCACCUCAAUAUAUCUCCGACUUCAUCCAAAUUUACAUUCCUGUGCGCGCUCUGA